CCUACGGGUGGCAGCAGUGGGGAAUAUUGGACAAUGGGGGGAACCCUGAUCCAGCGACGCCGCGUGAGUGAAGAAGUAUUUCGGUAUGUAAAGCUCUAUCAGCAGGGAAGAAAAUGACGGUACCUGACUAAGAAGCCCCGGCUAACUACGUGCCAGCAGCCGCGGUAAUACGUAGGGGGCAAGCGUUAUCCGGAUUUACUGGGUGUAAGGGGAGCGUAGACGGCAAGGCAAGCCAGAAGUGAAAGGGCAGGGCUCAACCAUGUACAUGCUUUUGGAACUGUGGUGCUAGGGUGCAGGAGAGGUAAGUGGAAUUCCUAGUGGAGCGGUGAAAUGCGUAGAUAUUAGGAGGAACACCAGUGGCGAAGGCGGCUUACUGGACUGUAACUGACGUUGAGGCGCGAAAGCGUGGGGAGCAAACAGGAUUAGAUACCCCAGUAGUC
rnacentral:rRNA from 1 species